rnacentral:lncRNA from 1 species
AUGCCUGAAUGUGGUGCGAUGGCAUGCAUAGAAGCAGCUGGACCACAAAUACAUGAUGGGAACUCCUUACUCUUCCAAGUAUGGCCUGGCCUAGAUCAACUAUUUUCAUUUCUGGGAAACUGCCCCUUUCCAAACAGCAUCUCAAGCCAUGUGCAACCAGUUAGAAGCUUCUGUCUGGCCUCUUCACAUACUGAAGGCACUCAAAUCUCAGAGGAUGAUCACAGACUCACAGGUCACGCUCUUGUCUACAUUUUUAGCAGUUUAUAAUAAAAAAUAUCUUCCUGUUCUAUUCUUUCCCUCUUCUAGCAGGAAGCUGUCAGUAAUAUGUAAUAUAGUUUGGUUUUGGGAUCUGCCAUUUUUUGACCAAAGAGCGAAUAAAAGAAUAUGAGUGGUGAGGAUGAGAGGAAUC